UUUCGAACUGGGCACCACCCAGAAGAAAGAUUCUGUUAACUACUCCCUUUAGAAAUUAUCUCAAGUUUCAGAAGCUUACAAGUGCACAAAAAUGUUUCCUGCCGCCCCCACCAAGAUGGAACAGGGACAAGAAGAACUGAUCUGCAUCAUCCUCUAGAUUCUGUGUGCGCUUCCUGAUCCAUGCCUCCAAAUGACAAGGGUUACAGGCAUGCAGCAAUGAAUGUAGGCAAAAUCCUUUCUGUAUCUAAUUCAAAACACCAGUACCCCCAGUCUAGCAAAGGAAGUGAGAAUGCCCCAACCACUCUAAUCAGGGACAUGGACAGUUCUCCCAGCAGAAGUAAUGAGGGCCUCCUCUUGAGUCAAGAAGAUACUAUCUUCCCUCUGAAUCCACAAAAUGAAUCCACAAAAGCUCUAGUAGCUAAUUUUUCCUUUCAUUAAAAUAAAACAGGUGGUACAGUAAGUAAAGAGCUUAUCAAUUGCACAUUAAACUAGAGGUAAU
rnacentral:lncRNA from 1 species